GUCCCUGCAGCGCACUAGAGAACGCGUUGGACUUCUAAUCCAAAGGUCGUGGGUUCGAAUUCUACCGGGGAUG